rnacentral:rRNA from 1 species
UACGUAGGUGGUAAGCGUUGUCCGGAAUUAUUGGGCGUAAAGCGCGCGCAGGCGGCCUCUUAAGUCUGAUGUGAAAGCCCCCGGCUCAACCGGGGAGGGCCAUUGGAAACUGGGAGGCUUGAGUAUAGGAGAGAAGAGUGGAAUUCCACGUGUAGCGGUGAAAUGCGUAGAGAUGUGGAGGAACACCAGUGGCGAAGGCGACUCUUUGGCCUAUAACUGACUCUGAGGCGCGAAAGCGUGGGGAGCAAACAGG